GAGACAAGCCUUCCCUGGAAUAUUUGCCGAGUGAACGUCCUCUGUGCAGACUCACAUGAUGCUUUGUCAUCUUUGGGAGAAGAGCCAAUAUUAUAAAAAGUUGCUGGGGAAAAAAAUGGAUCACGGCAGAAUAACCAGGGCAUUUAACCAGCCUGAGUUUGGAGGUGAUGGUUGCUGGCCUCUGUGGGUGUCCCGGGUCAAAGAAACAGAAUUUAGAACCUGGAAGUGUUGAUCAAGACGAACACUGCAACUUUGAUCAGCUAAACUUCAGGCUCUUCCGGUCCCUCUGCUGCCUGAGGCCAGGGAAGGAAGAGGUACCUAACAGGACAGCCACACCUUGGGAAGCCGAGGAUUUGGUGACUAAGAACCAGAUACAAUGAGACCAGUGGAAUUGCCAGAGUUGUGCCCAGAGAGCUCACUGUGAACUGGAUCCGCUUCAUGGAAUACUGGGGAGGCAGGUUGGGGGCAGAACUGGGGGGAAGCAUGAAGAAAAUCGAGGUACGUAACUGUGGUCUAGAGGAAGAAGGGAAAUACGGUCACUUUGGAUUCUUUAGUGAAUCAAAAAUCUCCUUUUGCUUCAUUUCUUGUAUUCAAAAAUGUUUCAAAUAUACUGUGAACUAUUCACCUUAGGAAAUACCAGAAAUUAAAAAAAGUAACACGGAUGAUUCUUAGCAAUAAAGUAUUCAGCAGUUUUUCGUAUGGGAAAUUUUAAACAUAUAGAAACAGAAAGAAUACUGUGAUUUCCUCCAGGUACCUACUACUUAGCUUUCAUCUUAGUCAAUCUUGCUUCCUCUGUAUGUCUUAGCCCCUUCCCCCUCCCUUAUUAUUUUGAAGGAAAGCUCAGACAUCAUAGAAUACCAUUUUUAUAAUGUUAAAAAUAACUAAAAUUUUAAAAAAGGCUUUUCAUGAAUAUAUAGAUGCAGUAAGACCAUAUAAAAAGAAAUUCAAGGCAAGGAAAAGCACAGCACGUGGGGUGGUAGUUACUGCAUGCGGGCGGGGCCGGGUUACAAGUAGAUUCGUAUCUGCGAUUUUGUUUUCAUCAGCCAGUUCUGGGUACUUGCUUGUUACCUUGUCAAAAAUAAAAGGAGACGGCGCAAAGACCGAUAUGAGCAGGUACAUGAACCCAGGAUUCACAUUCAGCCACUGCUGUGCACAGAAGCCCCGUUGGUCCCCUUUUCUGCCUGAGCCAAUGGAGUCAUCGUCGUCUUCCUUUUCAGAGGAUUACUUAGGAGUCCUCGUGUGUUUGAAACCAGAAGGAACCUUCAAAACCAGCACCUGAUGGAUGAGAUAGCUGGUGCACAGAGGCCCUGCAGACGUUUGACUGCGGGGACCCAGGAACAGGGGGCGGCUGCAUCUGGCUUCUCAGAAUCGCCAGUGCUACGCUCAGCAGAGGCGCAUCUUGAUAAAUUUCAGCGACAACAAAGGCAUGAAGUCGCGCUGAAUUUUCCUUUUCUGAGCUUGGUUCCAGCUGAUCAUGCUUCCUGUCUCUCUAAGAGCCUCCCUGACACAGGCGACUUGCUUCUUUCACAUUUGGUCAUCGCCCUCUUGCUUUCCUUUGUGAGUCAGCGUGGCUGCCCUUGUGCAGGAGUCAGUGCUCCCGGCCCCAGUGCCUGACCUCCCCAGGUGAUCCCCGCCCCCCUCCCAGGGUGAGCGUCCCCGCCCACUCCGUGCCGCUUAGGAGACGUGCGCUGGGGACAUGAGUCACAGCCCCAUCCUCCCCAGCUGAAACUAUUCGGGGAAUGCCUCUGCACGCAGUGCACGCUCGCUUCCUGGAGCUCACAGUCCUGUGCUUAGGGAUCAGCCGCUCAUACUUCUCUGCCAGAGGUUCCACUUGGGUGAUCACAAGGUGGUUGCGUCAAGUCAGGAAGCUUCCAAGAAAGGUGUGUUUAGGUCAGGCAUCACGCAUCCUAGGCUGAGCAUCAACCGCGUGCACCUGGGGGGGUUCAACCUGGAAGGAAGGAGGCAAAAGACUAAAAGAAGAGCCAGGGAGAUGUACAGUUCCUGUGUCACUGUGACAGAUGAGGACAGCGAGCGGGAGGAAGGUGAAGUCCUGAGCUCAUGGUCUGUAGCCAGAAGACAGUGAAGUACAUACCCAAGCCGGCUGCCUCGUUAGCAUUAACUUCUGUGGCUGAGAGUCGAUUUGAUUUUUUAUUUUUCAGGAGGAUAUUAGAAGGAAAGGGAGAUGAAUUUAGUUCAUUGAUCCUUCUGUGACGUCCUGAUGUAGAUCUCGCCUCGUAUAUGCUAGAUCGUGACUUAGGCCAUCUGGCAGGGAUCUCAGGAAAGUUCUGGUGCUGGAUGCAGGUUGGAUAAGCUUGCAGACAAAGCAUGGGUCUUGAGUUCAGGAGUUCUAAUUCCAUGUUGGUGUGGCACUGGCUGAGUUCCAGACAGAGGGAGAGAGAGCAGUUGACUUCCUGAUGUUCCUUAUUUGACAAAAACAUGAGACCUUGAGCACGACAAAAUAAACCUUUUGCUAGAGAAUUUUCA
rnacentral:lncRNA from 1 species